CCGGUCGUACUCAUAACCG
rnacentral:snRNA from 1 species